UACGUAGGUGGCGAGCGUUGUCCGGAUUUACUGGGCGUAAAGAGCGCGCAGGCGGUCGUACAAGUCGCGUGUGAAAGCCCCCCGGCUCAACUGGGGAGGGUCACGCGAUACUGUUCGACUCGAAGGCAGGAGAGGGAAGUGGAAUUCCCGGUGUAGUGGUGAAAUGCGUAGAUAUCGGGAGGAACACCAGUGGCGAAGGCGACUUCCUGGCCUGUUCUUGACGCUGAGGCGCGAAAGCCAGGGGGAGCGAACGGG
rnacentral:rRNA from 1 species